GACGUAGGGGGCGAGCGUUGUCCGGAUUCAUUGGGCGUAAAGCGCGCGUAGGCGGCCGCGCAAGUCGGUUGUGAAAUUCCGGGGCUCAACCCCGGAACUGCGUCCGAUACUGCGUGGCUAGAGGUAGGUAGGGGAGAUCGGAAUUCCUGGUGUAGCGGUGAAAUGCGCAGAUAUCAGGAGGAACACCGGUGGCGAAGGCGGAUCUCUGGGCCUUACCUGACGCUCAGGCGCGAAAGCUAGGGGAGCGAACAGG
rnacentral:rRNA from 1 species